rnacentral:lncRNA from 1 species
GCAAACCACAAGAUAGUUGAUUGUAUUUGUAUAUCAUAAAAUAUAGUAUUAUAGUAUAUCAACAAAUAAUAUAAAGAUGUUAAGAAUUCAUUUCAUAAGCAGGUUAAGGGUGACAAGUGAAAAACAUCUAGUUGAAAAAUGUUCUGGUCUGAUCGAAAAUCAUAAUAUUUUAUGUAGCAACCCGACAGCUUAUUAUAACGGCAAUAAAUAGUUGUAAAUUCUAUAGCAGCACCAGUCCAUGUUUGCAUUGGUCUAAAUUGAGACAAUCCUUACUUAAGAAUGAUGAAUCUCACACUCCAUCUGAUCAUGUUCUUCAUCUCAUUGGCAAAGACCCACUCUAGAACUACCUGUGUCAAUACCACUACAAGUUUAUUAAAAAUAUGUUGGAUCCUUAUAGUUUCAUUAUAUAUUCUGAGUUAACUUUUUAACAUGCGACAAAUAUGCCACCACAAAAAUGCAUUUCUGUGGCUAGACCUAAGUCAACCCCAUCUGGAGGAUGUCAGUCUGCUACAAAAACAUACUUACUAUUGAGGAUUCUACUAUUCAAACAUCAAACAUUAAAAAUCUCCUACAAUUCUGUACGGCAAAUAGCUACAUGGAAGUAUAGCUACAUAGUAAUAUGAAUACAAUUUAAAGCAUAAUAAAUCAAGAAAAAUAAUAAUUCUUCUGUAAAACCCUGUAUUAAGUGUCAGUAUUGGAUCUCCAACCCAUUUAAAAAUCCUCCAAAAUCAAUGAAAGGACAGCUUCAAAUACACUGAAUUCAUACCAACACAAGAUAAGAAAAUAUUGCUAAACUUCAGCAUGACUCUGACCUGGAGUGUUUAAUACCUUCUUAAAAACUCAAACCUCAAUUUUGACACACAUUAAAUUACUAAAAAAAAAAAAAAAAAAAUAUCCAAUCCUAGUAAAUUAGUAAUGUCACAAUUUUUGUUGAGAGAGAUACAAAAUGUACAAGUAAGCAAUACCUUAACAAUUCAUAAAGAGAUAGGAAAUGAAUUCAAUAAAUCAACUAGAGAACCGAACUCAUCAAAAAAAGAAAGACUGUCCUCUCUGAUACAUGGUAUGUACGGGUGGUGUGGAACUUACAAAUAAACGGUUACUAAAGGUCUGAAAUAACUGUAAAAAUUCCCUUGGGGUAAUAGCAGGAUAAACAUCUGCAGUUGGGGCCAAGCAUCUGAAGGAAUCCCUCUAAAAACCAGAAAUGGCUUCAUCCAUAAUGAUCACUGAAUAGUGAUAAUGAAAGUCAUACUAAACUCAAAUCUAAAAUAAAAGUUCAUCCCAAGCUAACAUAGGCCAGAGGCCCCAGACUUGGAACAGAUACUUAAAUGGCGAGGGGUUAAACAAGUGUUUCAAAAUCUCAACUAAAUGAAGAAGAAAGCAACGCACAAC